AACAGGCUUAUCUCCCCCAAGAGUCCACAUCGACGGGGAGGUUUGGCACCUCGAUGUCGGCUCAUCACAUCCUGGGGCUGUAGUAGGUCCCAAGGGUUGGGCUGUUCGCCCAUUAAAGUGGUACGCGAGCUGGGUUCAGAACGUCGUGGGACAGUUCGGUCCCUAUCCGUCGCAGGCGUAGGAAAUUUGAGAAGACCUGUCCUUAGUACGGGAGGACCGGGAUGGACGUACCUCUGGUGUACCAGUUGU
rnacentral:rRNA from 1 species